rnacentral:lncRNA from 1 species
GGGUGAUUCUGGCUUGGUCAAAGAUCUAGGGUUGGUCUCAUUAAUUUUACUCGUGUGUUCAAUGACCUUCCCACUUCUGAGAGUCAUGAUUGAUUUGGCAUGUUUAGAAAAGGUUUCUGGGGCAUUGGAGCUCUCAACCAUGAAUUGCCCUCUCGGGUUGCUCUCAGGUUGGCUAGGUAAUUUUUCUCCUUCCCUCUUACUGAAUACAGUUGCUAGUUGACC